AAAGAUAAGCAUUAUCUUUCAGGAGUGUGACUCCUAGUAGGACUCUACAUGGAGGAAUAAGAGUCCUACAAGGAUUGUGCCAUGCAGAACCUAUAAAGGCUCACAACAUAACCUUUGGAAGAGGUAACACAACUUUGAUUCUCGAAUACACAGAGCUUUUAUCUAUUUGUCUAUUUUGCUGACUUAGGCAUCGGAGAGGUAUCCGGCACACACCCGCCGGCUAGCUCACGUUUGUGUUUUCAGGGAGUAAAGCGACGACGUUUGGAGGAGCGCAGACUUGAUCAACAGGAUUAUACAAGAAAAUUAUUUCUUGCUCGUACAAUCAUUGAACUGUCAAGUACAAAUAAAUCCUCAAAUAGAAAAAGAACGUCUUUGAACCUGGACAUAUUUUCAAGUUGUAGUUCCAUGAAAUAGCAAAGAGAAAUAGAUGCCUCCUCAGUUGGUGGGUCAACAAGAUUUUGGCUAAAUUUAUUCUGCAAAAAUGACGGCACAAUCAACUUUAAAAUGAUAUUAAGGGUGGGCAUCACCUAAGCCUAGACUAUGCUAGGAAAAAAUUAAAAAUCUUGUGCCAAGCCCACCCAUUAGGCCUGUAAUUUACCCAUUAAAAUGAAAUAAAACAAAAUGUGUCAGCUAACACCCUUUGAGCUACAAGAAAUAAAUAAAGAAAAUGUAAUUGGAAUAGCCAUUUCAUUUUAAAAAUAAAAGAAUCUGAUAACCAAUCAUUUCUAAUGGAAAUACAUGAGCUCCAUUGAAGGAUUCCUCUUCCAUCCCUUUCUUCCUUGUUCUUUUUCCUUUUGUCGUUAGUAGGUAAUCUCCAAUUCUUGAGAUUCUCCAUCCAAAUGAAAUAAACAAACCUGUAAACAUCUUGUCAAUUAAUUUAUAACAUAUGCUUUUUAGCAAGGUGAAUCUACUUGGGUUUGAAGCAUUAUUUCUUUUCGUAGAUUCUCAAUAAUCUCUACCCUCAAUCUUGCAGUAGCAGAUCUAGUUGACAGUAUAUUGAUUUACUCCAUGCAGGGUCUGAAAUCAGAAUCAGAGAAGACUUCUCCUUCUUUGGGCUGCAGUGUGAUUUACUUUUUGUAUUUAUUGAAUUUUAUUUCCUUCAUAAAUAAAUGGACCUUAUUUGUAGAAGUUUUGAUCAUAGUUGAAUCUUUUGAACUACUUGUUAUCUUAAAAUUUUAUCAGAGCCAAGGUUGCUUUGUGGACAAUAUAGCCUUUAAAUAUAUGACAGGAUGUUGAAGAAUGUUGGACACAACUUUUGUACACCCUCUCUCAAUCACUUAGAUCACCAGGUUCCAGCGAAAAUAUGGAUACCAUAAGGGCACUCUUCGGUGUGGAACUUGGUAGCAGUUUUGACUCCAGUAGGCCUCACAAAUGGCCAACUGAACACCUCGCUUGUUGCUGUUGAAAUGGGAUUGCAAUUGUGGGAUUUAUUUGACUUUCAUUGCUAUUUGGCAUUAAGUUUUUGAUCUUCAACAUAUCAAGAGUCUCAACAUAUUUCUGCACUCUUCUCGCCUUCAAGUGAGUGAUGUCAACAUUGAAAAUUUAGUAUCUUAACUAUCUAUAAUUUAGAACUUUUUUGGAUGGUUUUGAAGUUGAGGACAAUUUUUGAUGUUUAGAAACUUAGUUUUUGGAUGGUUUGGAAUGUACAGACAGUUUUUGGAUGUUCGAAACUUAUGAAUAAUUUUUUUGAUGUUUGAAA